AUUGAACGCUUGCGGCAGGCCUAACACAUGCAAGUCGAGCGGAGCGGCGGACGGGCGAGUAAUGCCUAGGAACUUGACUGGUAGUGGGGGAUAACGUCCGGAAACGGGCGCUAAUACCGCAUACCAUCUGAUGAGCCUAGGUCGGAUUAGCUCGUUGGUGGGGUAAAGGCCUACCAAGGCGACGCAGCGUACCUGGUUUGAGCGGAUGAUCAGGCAGACGGGAACUGAGACACGGUCCAGACUCCUACGGGAGGCAGCAGUGGGGAAUAUUGCACAAUUGGAGCAAGCCUGAUGCAGUCAUGCCGCGUGGAUGAAGAAGGCCUUCGGGUUGUAAAGUACUUUCAGCGGGGAGGGGUUACCCGCAGAAGAAGCACCGGCUAACUCCGUGCCAGCAGCCGCGGUAAUUC
rnacentral:rRNA from 1 species